rnacentral:lncRNA from 1 species
AAUGGAAAAUUCAUCUCAAUUGUUGAUUUUAAUUCUAUAAAACAACAACUAACACAAAUUAAGAUGCAAAUGUUAGUUCUUUUAAGUUUGUUUAAUAAUAUUUACUUUAAAUACGUCUUAUAAAUAUGUUAUUUUACUAUAGUGGUUUUAAAGUUAUGGCCUUGAGAUAGUAAGAAGAGAGAAUGGAGAGACAAAUUAGAAUGGGGUUAGGGACAAGAUGGUUGAAGGAAUUGAGAUAUUUUAGAAUAUAGGGAAUGGAAAAAAACAACAUCUCAGACUACCCAUAACUUGUUCACUAGUAUAAACAAAAUUUACAUCACCAACCAAAAAACAAAUAUUUGUCACUAGUACUACUACCCAUAACUUCAUCCAAAUGUUAUUUUUUUUCACAUUCAUAUUUUAUACUUGUAGUCUAAAGCAUAGACAUUGAGACCCCAUUUUGGUUUUUCACAUUUUUGAGGAUAGAAUUAUGUUUUCACCUUUUUUUACGGUGGUUAGGAAGAAAGAGUGUAGUUCAUCAGUUAAACAUCGUUAUUUUGGUUGGUUAAAAAGUAAUGGAUAAAUCACUUUUUUGGUUGACAAAGUCCUCAUCUUUAUAAAAGCUACUAUAUGUUAUAUGAUUUCUUUUAGAUGCACUUUUGGGUAAAGACCAAUACAGAGAAAAAUAAGUGGAAAAAGAGAGUUAAAAUGGUUCAUGUCACGAGUUUCAAGACUCACUACAUACCAUGAUCAAAUUUUCAGGUGGUGGAAUUCAAUGAUUCUUGUAACCUAAAAAGUUUCUCAUUUAACAAGAG